rnacentral:rRNA from 1 species
GGGUAGGGGAGCGUUCUGUAAGCCUGCGAAGGUGGCCUGUGAGGGUUGCUGGAGGUAUCAGAAGUGCGAAUGCUGACAUAAGUAACGAUAAAGCGGGUGAAAAGCCCGCUCGCCGGAAGACCAAGGGUUCCUGUCCAACGUUAAUCGGGGCAGGGUGAGUCGACCCCUAAGGCGAGGCCGAAAGGCGUAGUCGAUGGGAAACGGGUUAAUAUUCCCGUACUUGGUGUUACUGCGAAGGGGGGACGGAGAAGGCUAUGUUGGCCGGGCGACGGUUGUCCCGGUUUAAGCGUGUAGGUGUGUGUUCCAGGUAAAUCCGGUUCACUUUAACACUGAGGCGUGACGACGAGGCACUACGGUGCUGAAGCAACAAAUGCCCUGCUUCCAGGAAAAGCCUCUAAGCAUCAGGUAACAUCAAAUCGUACCCCAAACCGACACAGGUGGUCAGGUAGAGAAUACCAAGGCGCUUGAGAGAACUCGGGUGAAGGAACUAGGCAAAAUGGUGCCGUAACUUCGGGAGAAGGCACGCUGACACGUAGGUGAAGUGAUUUACUCACGGAGCUGAAGUCAGUCGAAGAUACCAGCUGGCUGCAACUGUUUAUUAAAAACACAGCACUGUGCAAACACGAAAGUGGACGUAUACGGUGUGACGCCUGCCCGGUGCCGGAAGGUUAAUUGAUGGGGUCAGCGCAAGCGAAGCUCCUGAUCGAAGCCCCGGUAAACGGCGGCCGUAACUAUAACGGUCCUAAGGUAGCGAAAUUCCUUGUCGGGUAAGUUCCGACCUGCACGAAUGGCGUAAUGAUGGCCAGGCUGUCUCCACCCGAGACUCAGUGAAAUUGAACUCGCUGUGAAGAUGCAGUGUACCCGCGGCAAGACGGAAAGACCCCGUGAACCUUUACUAUAGCUUGACACUGAACAUUGAGCCUUGAUGUGUAGGAUAGGUGGGAGGCUUUGAAGUGUGGACGCCAGUCUGCAUGGAGCCGACCUUGAAAUACCACCCUUUAAUGUUUGAUGUUCUAACGUGGACCCGUGAUCCGGGUUGCGGACAGUGUCUGGUGGGUAGUUUGACUGGGGCGGUCUCCUCCUAAAGAGUAACGGAGGAGCACGAAGGUUGGCUAAUCCUGGUCGGACAUCAGGAGGUUAGUGCAAUGGCAUAAGCCAGCUUGACUGCGAGCGUGACGGCGCGAGCAGGUGCGAAAGCAGGUCAUAGUGAUCCGGUGGUUCUGAAUGGAAGGGCCAUCGCUCAACGGAUAAAAGGUACUCCGGGGAUAACAGGCUGAUACCGCCCAAGAGUUCAUAUCGACGGCGGUGUUUGGCACCUCGAUGUCGGCUCAUCACAUCCUGGGGCUGAAGUAGGUCCCAAGGGUAUGGCUGUUCGCCAUUUAAAGUGGUACGCGAGCUGGGUUUAGAACGUCGUGAGACAGUUCGGUCCCUAUCUGCCGUGGGCGCUGGAGAACUGAGGGGGGCUGCUCCUAGUACGAGAGGACCGGAGUGGACGCAUCACUGGUGUUCGGGUUGUCAUGCCAAUGGCACUGCCCGGUAGCUAAAUGCGGAAGAGAUAAGUGCUGAAAGCAUCUAAGCACGAAACUUGCCCCGAGAUGAGUUCUCCCUGAGACUUAGAGUCUCCUGAAGGAACGUUGAAGACGACGACGUUGAUAGGCCGGGUGUGUAAGCGCAGCGAUGCGUUGAGCUAACCGGUACUAAUGAACCGUGAGGCUUAACCUUA